rnacentral:rRNA from 1 species
AGAGUUUGAUCCUGGCUCAGGACGAACGCUGGCGGCGUGCUUAACACAUGCAAGUCGAACGGAAAGGCCCUUUCGGGGGUACUCGAGUGGCGAACGGGUGAGUAACACGUGGGUGAUCUGCCCUGCACUUUGGGAUAAGCCUGGGAAACUGGGUCUAAUACCGGAUAUACCUCAUGGACUGCAUGGUUUGUGGGGGAAAGCUUUUGCGGUGUGGGAUGGGCCCGCGGCCUAUCAGCUUGUUGGUGGGGUGAUGGCCUACCAAGGCGACGACGGGUAGCCGGCCUGAGAGGGUGACCGGCCACACUGGGACUGAGAUACGGCCCAGACUCCUACGGGAGGCAGCAGUGGGGAAUAUUGCACAAUGGGCGCAAGCCUGAUGCAGCGACGCCGCGUGAGGGAUGACGGCCUUCGGGUUGUAAACCUCUUUCAGCAGGGACGAAGCGCAAGUGACGGUACCUGUAGAAGAAGGACCGGCCAACUACGUGCCAGCAGCCGCGGUAAUACGUAGGGUCCGAGCGUUGUCCGGAAUUACUGGGCGUAAAGAGCUCGUAGGUGGUUUGUCGCGUUGUUCGUGAAGACUCACAGCUCAACUGUGGGCGUGCGGGCGAUACGGGCAGACUUGAGUACUGCAGGGGAGACUGGAAUUCCUGGUGUAGCGGUGGAAUGCGCAGAUAUCAGGAGGAACACCGGUGGCGAAGGCGGGUCUCUGGGCAGUAACUGACGCUGAGGAGCGAAAGCGUGGGGAGCGAACAGGAUUAGAUACCCUGGUAGUCC